rnacentral:rRNA from 1 species
AUGCAUUUCUUAGGGCUUUCGGGUAUGCCACAUCGCAUUCCAAAUUAUCCAGAUGCUUACGCCGGAUGGAAUGCUCUGAGCAGUUUCGGUUCUUAUAUAUCCGUAGUUGGGAUUCGUCGUUUCUUCGUAGUUGUCGCAAUCACUUCAAGCGGUGGAAAGAACCAAAAAUGUGCAGAAUGUCCUUGGUCUGUUGAACAGAAUCCAACCAUACUUGAAUGGUUGGUACAAAGCCCUCCGGCCUUUCAUACUUUUGCAGAACUUCCUGCUGUAAAAGAGACAAAAAGCUAA